rnacentral:lncRNA from 1 species
UGUGAGAAGACAUGAUCCUUCUUACCAAGGUAGAUUAGCUUCCACAUACUAUUUCUUAACAAAGUGUUGAUAUAAUGGGAUAGCCGUUUCAUGCAUAACACAAAUAUAUAGGAGGGAAAGCGGGUCCCCUUGCCGAAUGCCUCUAGUAGGCCGAAACUCCUGGGUGAGACAAUCGUUCCACAACAAUUGCAUAGAGCAAGAGGAGAUAUAAUGCAU